CGGCGGCCGCACCGGUUGUCGGACGGCUGUUGGUGUCGGCCGGGCUGGAGCCGGCUACCUAUGAGGUGCGGUACCGCGGACUGCCGU
rnacentral:tRNA from 1 species